UGCAAAAAUAGGUAUCGUGAUGUGUAUCGAAUCGUGACAUGGGUAUCGUGAUAUGUAUCGAUUCAUAAAACUUAUGUAUCGUGACAUCCCUACUUUCUGUUACAACAAAAAUAUUGUUUCAUGUAAGAAGUUUGAUAAUACCACCACCACCCCAGUAAUAUUUCGAACACUGGACCAGUCCCUUGACUUUAUGAAAGAUAUGAUCUCCCUUUUUGUUUGAUGAAAUAUGAUGAGUAAGUGAUUUGGGCCUGAACUAGACUACCUUUAACCAAUGAAAAAUGGUCACAAUAAACAGUAAAUGUUUGGUUGGAAGGUAGGUCCUGUGUCAGGCAUGGACUGCUUAAUUUACAUUGAUGAUUUAUUUUGAAGAUCAGUAUGUGAUAUGCUGCUAUAAUUAUGAUCCUUUAGAUUUUGAAAUAGAAAAAAUAACGGUUGUCGGUGUAGUUUCAAAUAUUUUUGCAGUCUUCAUAAGUUGCUCAUUGUUUUUGGAUCUCAUCCUACUAGCUGGCUUUCAUGUAGCCUAGUGUUAGACUUGGAAUGACUGAUGCAUAUGUUUCACGUGCUACAUGAUGUACACAUGUGAUAAUGAUACUGUAGAUGAUAGAGCAGUAACUAACCAUUGUCAAUGACUGUUUCAAAUAUUUUUGCUGACUUCAUAAGUUGCUCCCUGGUUUUGAUCUCAUCCUACCAUCUGGCUAACAUGUAGGUCUUGUGUCAGACUUGGAUUUACUGAUUCAUAUUGAUGCUUCAUGCACUACAUGAUGUACUCAUGAAAUUAUGACACCGUAGAUGAGAGAGCUGAUGACUGAUUCACAAUGAAUGUUUCAAAUAUUUUUGUUGAUGUAAAAUGUUUCCCACUAGUUUAAGAUUGCAUGUACCAUCAGUGUCAAUCAAAUGCUCUUUUCAGGGAUUAUGUUCUUCAGGUUUUAGAAGACGGUUUACAAUUAUCAGCGGGAACGUAGAAUUUCAUCUUAGCCCUAGAAGCUGUCAAGUGACUUGUCUCUUGUUACAAGAAAUCUUUGAACUGAUUAUCAAAUAUCAAGUUUUGAAAUACAGACAUGGGAUCAGGUCCAUUUCAACAAAGAUGAGUGUCAUCAGUUAAUAUUAUGUCAUUGUUACUGUCAAAGAAAUUAACAUGAUCUUUUUGCAAAAUCUAUUUCUUACAAAAGUUUGUGCUGGCCAAUGAGCUUUCAGAUAUGCCUAAAAGGCAUUGUCUUGAAGCAGUGUAUGAAAUAAGGCCCGUCCGACCGCCGAGACGGUCUAGAUUUCUGACGGACCCGGUAUAAAUUUACAGCUAGCCAGCCCGAUGGUCUGGUAAAAGUUUUAGAUGUUCCAUACAUCUGAGUAAAGUCACCAUAUUUCGGUCUGGUUAAGUCCAUUUUGGGCUGGUAACAUUUUGAAGUUACCAGCCCUAAUGUCUAGCUGGAUUUUUGGCUUAUUUCAUACACUGCUUGAAGAUAAAUGUCUUCUGUCCAGGUCUUGUUUGUAAACCAGCAUGUGGGUUCAUGGCCAUCCCUGCUUUAUGGUUGGAAACAGACUUAAUAUGAUAUGAUGUAAAUAUCUUGAAUGACUGUUAUUUCUAACAAUGUGGUAACAUUAGGAUGGCUUGAGAUUGAAUGUUAUACCCAAUGUGUUCAGAUCUUGUAUAUGUGAACAUUCUCAACAGUACUGUUCUCAAGGAAGUCUUCCGGUUCAAUGAAUCGUUGAAACAGAAUUAUCUCCCCUGCUUUGUAUAUAAUAGGAUGUUGCUAUAUACUUAGCAUCUCAAAUUAUGAUAUACACAAGAAAUGUAUUGGUAGUUGGAUAGUUAACAUCUCAUCAAAGUUCAUAUCAUGAUAUACUGAGGGAAAAAAUAAGGGGAUCACAUGAAAGCACAACUUGUGAAGAAACCUGGAAAAAAAUACAGGAACACUUUCAAGUCAUCCGUUAUUUUUUCCCUCAGUAUAAUUUUACACAUGGUAAUUUUCUCAUUUUGCUUUUAUGCUUCUUAGAUUGAUAUUGAUAGUUUUAGUUUUACUGAUAUAAGUGUUGAAUUUAAUUCGAGAAUCCAACAAUUGUUAAUAUUUCUGAGUCUCAUGCUUAUUUUGAACCCAGAGGAACGAAAUCUAAGUGACUGACAAGAUGUUUCAUUGUCUGGUUGCUAUGGGUGACAUUACUGCAUGGCCUAAGAUCACUCAGAACAGUUCUUCUACAAUUUUCCAGAACUUUCAAGAGUACCAUCGGUGUUAUGGUCCAUUUGUAUCACAUCUGGGAUUCUGGUUUAGCGGAAGUGAUUCCUAAUCUCUACCUGAGAAGUGGCCAAGUAGAUUGGGUGGUCAGUCAGAGACCAGGUUCAUUUUGUGUCCUUUUACUGAAAUGGUGUGAAUCUUUGCUAAUAAUACUGAUUCUGGAUUUUCUGGUCCAGACUCAAUUAUCUUCGAUGCUGAAGGUGUUGUUAAACAACAAACAAUAAAUAUGUAUGCUAAACUGAGAGCUGUGAUAGUGCUGCUGGAUGAUGUUUUCGAUGUUAUGGUUUAUUUUGGUUGUUUGUUUAUAAAGCCAAGUAAUGUAAUUUAAUAUCUUUGUAUGUGGAAGGUUUUGAAGGGCUGUUUGUCCCAGGAAAAAUCUUGAUAUGACAUGGAAUUCACAUACUUAAAACACUUACUUAUAUGUGGUGGGCUGGCACAAAUAUUCAAGUAUGUAAAUAUAAAAUACAGUAGGUGGUUAUGGAUUGCUGCAGAGAAGUGAAUACACCUGAAUUCACAAAGAUAUGUUGAUAACACUGGUAGGUAUAAUGUUGUUCACCUAUACAGGGAUCUAUGUUGGCAGAUUAAUGCUGAAUACAACACGAUCUUUAGAUUUUGUAUUUUAGAUUUUUGGAAAUGUUGUUCACCUUCAUAGGCUUGAACAACUGAGAUGUAUUGUUUUUUACUUAGGUCAUUUUUAGAACAUUAUCAGUAUUUAUUACGAUCAAGUAUGGACACAAUCUAAGCCAAAUAGUGCUUUGGUAUUGAAUCUUCCAGGUGAUGCCGUAAGUACUGCUUUAUAUGAUGAUGUCAUUUAGUAAUCAAUAUUCAUACAAAAUAUGGUUAGACUUGAUGUGAUAUUCUGUUAUUUUGCUCAGUGCUAAGUUGUAGUUAUUACACUGUCAUUUUGAAUAUUAGGCUCAUUAUUUUAUUUUAUGUGUCUACUUUUUAUUAUGUUUAUCCUGACCAUUGUGUUUUCUAAUGCCAUGACAUGAAUUUCAGUUUACAAUGUUAUUCAUAUUGAAGUUUACAGGUGUAAAGUGAAUUUAUCAUAGUUUAAAAUUGAAUUUCUAAUUACAAUGUUGUUAUGGUUGAAGGGGUCAUUGUCAGCACGUGUACUACAGAUAUGUGCCCAGGUCAUAAUACAUAAUACAUAAACAAAAUAUACUGGACAAAAUAAGUUAGGGAUAUUGGCAUUUUUAUGAUUGUUAUUUUAUCAGUGUGUCAAUGAAUAAAUAGAUCAUUAUUCAUAAUUUCAAAUUUACAUAUAUCCCUAACUAUAUUUGUCCAGUUUAAUAAUACACAAAUAUACCAGUUACCCUAAGCGGUUGACGAGCCCAUAUUCUCCACCCUAAACCAAAACCGGUUCAUGUUAUACUUGAUUACGAGUGAUACUGUGCAUUAUGAAAUAUUUGUUCCUUGUACAAUGCUAUCCAAUGCAUCUCACAACAGUAUGACAGUUCCGAUCAAGAAAACGGUGCGUAAUGGACUCGUCCUAGGGUGCGUUUCUGUAUGGCUAGGAUAUGUAUCUUUUACAGAAACGUACCCGGGGUACAUGUCUGUAGCACCAGUGCCGACAACGACACCUUUAGGGUUAUUACGACUGAAGUGUAAACGUGUCAUUAUGAUUUUAUGGGCGUUUGAAAAUGUGAAUGAGUUAUGUCCCUUCGGAAAGCAAACCCAUGUCCAGUGUUGUUGAACAGUCGAUGAUUGAGAGGAAGUCUUAGGGACUGGACAUCGGAUGAUUGACUCACAUUCCAGUGACUCACUGGAAAUCCCGAUGGUUGACUGAACAUCUCAAUGAUUGUGUGAACUGCCAGGUCAGUGACUGUACAACCCAACGAUUGUCUGGACGUCCCAGGAACUGACUGGGCGUCUUUCUGAGGUUGUCUGGAGGUCCCUAUGAUUGUGUGGACUUCAAACAAAAGGCUGUAGAACCCAAAUGAUUGUCUGAACGCUCCUGGCAUUGACAAGACAUGUUCGUGAGGUUGUCUGGAGGUCCCUAUGAUAUUGUCUGGACUUCAAACCACUGACUGUAGAACCCAAUGAUUCUGUGGACGUCCCAGGGAUUGACUGGACAUCUUUGUAAGAUUGUCCGCAGGUCCCAGUGAUUGUGUGGACGUCCCAGUCAGUGACUGUACACCCCAAUGAUUGUGUGGACGUCCCAGGAACUGACUGUACACCCCAAUGAUUGUGUGGACGUCAAAGUCAGUGUCUGUAGAACCCAAUGAUUAUGUGGACGUCCCAGGGAUUGACUGGACAUCUUUGUAAGAUUGUCCGCAGGUCCCAGUGAUUGUGUGGACGUCCCAGUCAGUGACUGUACACCCCAAUGAUUGUGUGGACGUCCCAGGGUUUGACUGGACAUCUUUGUUAGAUUGUCUGCAGGUCCCAGUGAUUGACUUGACACCAAAUGGAUCGACUGGACAUCCCGCUGAUCGAACGUCUCUCACAAAGCAACGUUAUCCGCGAACCAUUAUUCUGGAAACUCCUUUAGCUUUUAACGUCUUCCAGGAACCCCAGUGCCACUCACUGUCGUGAACACAGUUACUACCAAACAUCAUGACGGAUGAUAGUGUUUUCAUCAUUGAAUAAUUGACGCUUGAUUUGAACGUUGUCAGUUUGCAUGUCCACCUAACAGGCCUCAUAAAUACUACUGAAAUUAAUUUAAGAAAACCGAAGCAUGGGUGUUGCAGUGCCAAUGACAGGUCACAUAUAGUCACUCAGAAAUAGAUCUGAUGAGAUGUAACUUAAUUUGUGUAGUAUAUGAAGAGUAAUCGGUCAAUGCAGAUGCUAGCGUUCAUCGUUUAUAAUCAGUUGUAUUCGUAGACAUGACAUGAUUACAUAGCAUUAGUGUAGUAGAUGAGGUUUGACAUCUGCUGAUAUUUAAGCAGUUCACUGCUGCUUGUAUUCAUGCGGUUGAUAUCUAAGAUCCUUUGAACAACGACUUUAAGAAUAUAACGGUACAGAUGAUGUAGACUCCGUGACAUGUAUGAACACAUUCAAUUGCUUGUUCAAAUAAAGAUAAUUAUUUUAUUACAAA